AGGAUAAACGCUGGCGGCGUGCCUAACACAUGCAAGUCGAACGUCCUACGCAAGUAGGGAGUGGCGGACGGGUGAGUAACACGUGGGCAAUCUACCUUUCGGUGAGGAAUACCGGCGAGAAAUCGCCGACAAUACCGCAUACGCUUCGCAAGAAGCAAAGUCGCAAGACGCCGGAGGAGGAGCCUGCGCCCGAUUAGCUGGUUGGUGAGGUAAGAGCUCACCAAGGCGACGAUCGGUAGCUGGUCUGAGAGGAUGAUCAGCCACACUGGGAUUGAGAACGGCCCAGACUCCUACGGGGGGCAGCAGUGAGGAAUUUUCCGCAAUGGGCGAAAGCCUGACGGAGCGACGCCGCGUGUGGGAAGAAGGCCUUCGGGUCGUAAACCACUGUCGAAGGGGACGAUAAUGACGGUACCCUUGGAGGAAGCCCCGGCUAACUACGUGCCAGCAGCCGC
rnacentral:rRNA from 1 species